rnacentral:rRNA from 1 species
GUAGUUUGAUCCUGGCUCAGAACGACGCUGGCGGCAUGCCUAAUACAUGCAAGUCGAACGAGAUCUUCGGAUCUAGUGGCGCACGGGUGCGUAACGCGUGGGAAUCUGCCCUUGGGUUCGGAAUAACUUCUGGAAACGGAAGCUAAUACCGGAUGAUGACGUAAGUCCAAAGAUUUAUCGCCCAAGGAUGAGCCCGCGUAGGAUUAGCUAGUUGGUGGGGUAAAGGCCCACCAAGGCGACGAUCCUUAGCUGGUCUGAGAGGAUGAUCAGCCACACUGGGACUGAGACACGGCCCAGACUCCUACGGGAGGCAGCAGUAGGGAAUAUUGGACAAUGGGCGCAAGCCUGAUCCAGCAAUGCCGCGUGAAGGUAGAAGGCCUACGGGUCAUGAACUUCUUUUCCCGGAGAAGAAGCAAUGACGGUAUCCGGGGAAUAAGCAUCGGCUAACUCUGUG